rnacentral:rRNA from 1 species
ACCUGCCUGUAAGACUGGGAUAACUCCGGGAAACCGGGGCUAAUACCGGAUGGUUGUCUGAACCGCAUGGUUCAGACAUAAAAGGUGGCUUCGGCUACCACUUACAGAUGGACCCGCGGCGCAUUAGCUAGUUGGUGAGGUAACGGCUCACCAAGGCGACGAUGCGUAGCCGACCUGAGAGGGUGAUCGGCCACACUGGGACUGAGACACGGCCCAGACUCCUACGGGAGGCAGCAGUAGGGAAUCUUCCGCAAUGGACGAAAGUCUGACGGAGCAACGCCGCGUGAGUGAUGAAGGUUUUCGGAUCGUAAAGCUCUGUUGUUAGGGAAGAACAAGUGCCGUUCAAAUAGGGCGGCACCUUGACGGUACCUAACCAGAAAGCCACGGCUAACUACGUGCCAGCAGCCGCGGUAAUACGUAGGUGGCAAGCGUUGUCCGGAAUUAUUGGGCGUAAAGGGCUCGCAGGCGGUUUCUUAAGUCUGAUGUGAAAGCCCCCGGCUCAACCGGGGAGGGUCAUUGGAAACUGGGGAACUUGAGUGCAGAAGAGGAGAGUGGAAUUCCACGUGUAGCGGUGAAAUGCGUAGAGAUGUGGAGGAACACCAGUGGCGAAGGCGACUCUCUGGUCUGUAACUGACGCUGAGGAGCGAAAGCGUGGGGGAGCGAACAGGAUUAGAUACCCUGGUAGUCCACGCCGUAAACGAUGAGUGCUAAGUGUUAGGGGGUUUCCGCCCCUUUAGUGCUGCAGCUAAC